rnacentral:rRNA from 1 species
UUUAAAUGUAAAAUAUAUUACUAAAGUAGUAUUAGUUAUGGUCUUGAAAUUUAAAGAUUUUGGCGGUAUUUUAGUCUAUUUAGAGGAACCUGUUCUGUAAUUGAUAAUCCACGAUUAAUUAUACUUAAUUUAAAAAUUUGUAUACCGUCGUUAUAAGAAAAUUUUAUUAGAAUAUAAAUUUUUAAUAUUUUAAAUUAAAAAAUAUAUCAGAUCAAGGUGCAGUAGAUAGUUAAGUAGAAAUGGGUUACAAUAAAUGUAUUUAUAUGGAUUGAAGUGAGAAUAAACUUUAUAAAAGUGGAUUUAAUAGUAAUAAAAUUUAAUUAAAUUUUAUGAUUUUAGCUCUAAAAUAUGC